rnacentral:rRNA from 1 species
UUGGGAAUAUUGGACAAUGGGGGAAACCCUGAUCCAGCAAUGCCGCGUGGGUGAUGAAGGCCUUCGGGUUGUAAAGCCCUUUUGGCGGGGACGAUGAUGACGGUACCCGCAGAAUAAGCCCCGGCUAACUUCGUGCCAGCAGCCGCGGUAAUACGAAGGGGGCUAGCGUUGUUCGGAAUUACUGGGCGUAAAGGGCGCGUAGGCGGCUGUGCAAGUCAGAUGUGAAAGCCCUGGGCUCAACCCAGGAUGUGCAUUUGAUACUGCACGGCUAGAGUGUCGGAGAGGAUGGUGGAAUUCCCAGUGUAGAGGUGAAAUUCGUAGAUAUUGGGAAGAACACCGGUGGCGAAGGCGACCAUCUGGACGACAACUGACGCUGAGGCGCGAAAGCGUGGGGAGCAAACAG